CCUACGGGAGGCAGCAGUGGGGAAUAUUGCACAAUGGGCGAAAGCCUGAUGCAGCGACGCCGCGUGAGGGAUGACGGCCUUCGGGUUGUAAACCUCUUUCAGCAGGGAAGAAGCGCAAGUGACGGUACCUGCAGAAGAAGCACCGGCUAACUACGUGCCAGCAGCCGCGGUAAUACGUAGGGUGCGAGCGUUGUCCGGAAUUAUUGGGCGUAAAGAGCUCGUAGGCGGUCUGUCACGUCGGAUGUGAAAGCCCGGGGCUUAACCCCGGGCCUGCAUUCGAUACGGGCAGACUAGAGUGUGGUAGGGGAGAUCGGAAUUCCUGGUGUAGCGGUGAAAUGCGCAGAUAUCAGGAGGAACACCGGUGGCGAAGGCGGAUCUCUGGGCCAUUACUGACGCUGAGGAGCGAAAGCGUGGGGAGCGAACAGGAUUAGAUACCCUGGUAGUCCACGCCGUAAACGUUGGGAACUAGGUGUUGGCGACAUUCCACGUCGUCGGUGCCGCAGCUAACGCAUUAAGUUCCCCGCCUGGGGAGUACGGCCGCAAGGCUAAAACUCAAAUGAAUUGACGG
rnacentral:rRNA from 1 species